AGCGAACGCUGGCGGCAGGCUUAACACAUGCAAGUCGAGCGGGCACUUUCGGGUGUCAGCGGCGGACGGGUGAGUAACGCGUGGGAACGUGCCCUCUGGUUCGGAAUAACUCAGGGAAACUUGAGCUAAUACCGGAUACGCUCUUUCGGGGAAAGGCCUGCUGCCGGAGGAUCGGCCCGCGUCUGAUUAGCUAGUUGGUGAGGUAACGGCGCACCAAGGCGACGAUCAGUAGCUGGUCUGAGAGGAUGAUCAGCCACACUGGGACUGAGACACGGCCCAGACUCCUACGGGAGGCAGCAGGGGGGAAUAUUGGACACUGGGCGCAAGCCUGAGCCAGCCAUGCCGCGUGAGUGAUGAAGGCCUUAGGGUUGUAAAGCUCUUUUAUCCGGGACGAUAGUGACGGUAGCGGAGAAAUAAGCCCCGGCUAACUUCGUG
rnacentral:rRNA from 1 species